GGCAGCUGCGUGGAGAGUGACGGCAGUGCCGGCAACAUGGCGUUUGCGGCCCGCACCGCGGCCGGUGCUGGAGGCCGACGAGGGGUCGUGCGGGUGGAGCCGCUGCAGCCCUAAUGCUCUGCAGUGCUGCCGAAAGUUACUCCACUACCUACGGCGUUCUGCUAAGGCACAGUGUAGGCUGUUGUGAAGUUAAUUGACGAUGUUAAGAAGUAUAACUAUUCAUCUCACUUGUAACAGAAUGCUAUUUUGGGACUGUAAAACUUACGGGAGCUUAACUACUUGUCCCACAUGCAAGCAGAAUAUGAGGCAGGUAGAGAAAUUCAGCAACAUGCAGCACUGGACAGUGUGGAACAAAAAAGCAUUGAAAUUUCGGCAGCAGCCAGCUCUGAAGACUUACAGAGCUUUCCUCGUGAAAAGAGUGCUGUGUAUUUAAUGCCAUCUAGUUGUAUCUCUGUGUAGUGGUGCACCUGUAACCAACAGAGAAACAUCCACAUAUUUUUCAAGUAGGGUGGCUUUAUCUUUCAUGAUUAUCUUAAUUGUUAUCACAAUGCAUAAGCAGAGGUCUUUAAUGAAUAAACAUAUUAACAUGCUAACUAAAAAAAAAUCAGUAGUUAUUAAGCAAACUGUUCGCAGUCUUGCAGCUGUUGGUUCUUAGAUCAGUUUUUUUUUUUCAAGUGUGGAUCAUAUGAUGCCAUGUGCUCCAAUGAGCUGUCCAGAAAUAUACAAUUAAAUAAAUAACUUAGGUAAGCUACUGUUCCCCACCCAAUAAAUGAGGAUCUGAGGCAGAAGUUAAUGGAACUUUGAGAUGAGUAAAGCCAAAUGAAAAUAUUCUUCAGUACUAGGAAGCUAUAAACUGUUGAUUACAUCUUAGUAUAGCAACAAGAAGUUUACUUGCUUCUGUGUACUACAGACUCAUUUCUUCACAAUUCCAGCUUGAGUAUUACCCUCCCUCCUCACAACCGUGUAAAGGAUGGUGAACCUAAUCCAAAGUUCUGACCUGUUUGUAGCUUCGAUUUCUACUGAAAUUAGAAAUUGACCUGCCAGUAAAGAUGCUAUAGGAUUUGAUACCUUGUUAGGAUUUGUGUGCUAUGGAGUUUUGAAAUCCAGAAGCUGCACAAAAAAUUUUAAGAACCUAUGCUUUCUUCUUCAUGGCCCUGUAAAGCUAACUGAAUUCAUGCUUGUUUCUUUGAUUUCUGUAAUGCAGAUACUUGUGCUGUGACUGUGAUGAGCAGAUUUAAGGGCCUACACUUACUUAAACCAAACACUAUCGAAGAUAAAUGGCUUCUGCAGCACUCUGCAUGCAGGAAAUGUGUACUAUGGCAGACUCAAUGCAAGUCCACAGGUGCCAUACAACAGCAUCCUUUAACAGUGAAAUUAACCACAGUAAUUAGCACCGCACACCCCAAAACCUCUCUUGUCACUUACCUGUUUGGAUGAAUAUUUUAUGGACUUAAUAUCUUUAGGGAAUGAACUCCAUUUAGAAGUGUAAUUUAGGAAUUUUGCAGUCUAUUUUUAAUUAAGAUCUACUAGAUGCUUUGUACUAAAGUACACAACCUUAUCUGAUGUUGAAUUCUUUCAAGUUUUUUACUUUGCUAUUACUGCUCGUCUAUUGUUUGUAAAUACAUUGAUUUUCAUCUGAAGUAUAACUUUGUAGUUCAGUAUUGGAUUUAUUUCAUGACUGCCAAGUAAAUUAAUAUAAUCUGAAAAAAAAACCCCAACACUAAAUCUAGCCUCUGUUUGAAGUCUUGUAAGUUUUCCUGGAAGUUACUGUUCUACAUAUGUUGCUCCAAAAGCAAUGCCACCUAGUUAUCUCUACGGAAACUACAACAGAUACAAAGAGCAGAAUAGCACUAUUUGGUGGAGCAAAGUCUCAGAUACAAAGCACUGUUUUUCAACAUAGUCACCAUCACUAGCUUUGCAUUUUCACUAGUGAUGAACAAGAGCCUGCAUGCCAUGCUUUUAAAAAUCUGCACCAGCAGAGUUGACCAGAUGUUUUUCAGCUGCUAUGACAGUGCUAUUGCUAGGAAAUAUUGCCCAUGCAGUCCAUAUUUCAUCAGCCUGAACAGAUGGAAAUCAAAAGGUGCCAAUCUGGACUAUGCUGUGGGUGUAGUAAGAUAGUCCAACCAAGGCUGACAAGUGUGUGGUCUUCGAACUAGCACUGGGUCUGGUGUUACUGUGUUGCAAGAUAGUUUGUCUUCUUCUGUGACCUGACUUUGGAAGUUCAAGCCUUCAUCUUAGUCAGCAUCGUGAUACAGCAGUCAGUUGAUGGCUUGUCCAUGUUUCAAGAAAUCCAGAAGAAUCACUCCUUUCCUAUCCCAAAAGACAGUGCAUAUCACUUUACCCACAGAGGGCUUAUUCUUGAACUUCUUCAUCAAUGGGGAAUUCAUGCUGCCACUCCAUGGAGUACCAUUUCAACUCUGGCUCAUAGUAGUGACACAACGUCUUGUUACAGGUAAUGGUAUGAUCCAGGGAACCAUCAUCUUCUGCCUCAUAUUGAUCAGUAGGUUCUGACAAACUUGCAUAUGGUGUUCUUUUUGCUCCUGUGUGAGCAUUUGUGGAACCCACCUAGCACAAACUUUGUGAUAUUGCAGCAUUGCAACUAUUGUUUCUAGUGCAUUGAAGCUGAUGUUCAGAUCUAUAUACAGUACCCUGGUUGUAAUCUUGUAAUCUGCCAAUUUGUGCAGAAGAGCUGACCGAGACACUCUUCAUUUUGUAGUGUGACAGUUGUGCAUGGCUGUCCAGAACAUGGCUGCUCAUUCCUGUCACUGUCAUCACUGCUGAAACACACCACUCACUGCCUACUGUGCUCUCAUCCACUAUUUGGUCUCUGCUGCUAUUUCUUGCAUCGCAACAAAUGGAAUAUUGGUGGGAAGGCUUAGCAUCUACUACCAUACUACCAGCAUCCACUUCUGGUGUUGUGGGCCAAUAUAACAAAAUAGGAGGCAUUAGUUUUGGAGCAGCCUCAUGCCUUGAUAUAUGCAUGCAUUUUUAUUCUCUUUUUGUAAACAUGCUAUCCUACAAAACUGUUCAAUUGGAAGUACUGUAAUAUGACUCUGUAAAAAAUGUUUUCUUUCCUUGAUGAAUGAGUAGCUAACAACAACAACAAAACACCUCUAUCUUGUCUGAUCUCCGGAAAUUCUUCAGACUCAAAACUGUAAUGUAGACCUCAUCUGCUUUGUUAUGACUUAUUUAUUGUGUUCAUAGGGUUUUCAUGUUCUGAGUUGGGUCUGAUAAUUGAAGUCAGGUGUUCCAACUAAUCGGUUUUUCCGUUAUGAAACAAUUAUUUGAUUACAGUGCAGAAAGUCGUGGAAACCACAGUAGGAAUGAUGUUAUAAGCACUGUACCUUUUAAAAUUCUCUCUCAGUUUUUAUUGAAAUAAUUAAAUUUGUAUUAGAAGACUUUCAUAGCAAAUGGGAAAUGUAUGUCUUCACUUUAUAGAGAGAAGAUAACCUUGUUGUGAGGAUGCUCAAGCAUUGGAACAGGUUACCCAGAAAGACUGCUCAGUCUCUGUCCUUGGAGCUUUUCAAGACUCAGCUGAGUUGAGUUCUGAGCAAUUUGAUUUGGUGUCAGUAUUGACACUGUUUAGAUUGGGAGGCUGGAUUAAAAGAUCUCCUGUAGGAAGCUGAGUUAUUCUAUGAAUCAUUUCAAUAUUAUGCAUAUUUAGAAUCUGAAGUGUUUUCAUUAAAAACAAGCCUGUACCAUUUGAAUUGAAAAGCACGUGGUGUGAUCUAAGAUGAAGAAGAAUGACUUAAGCACUUUUCUUGAAUUCUCUGUUCUGCUGGAAACUCUGGUGGUGAAGUAGUCAAUCUAAUCAAGUAGAAUCUGAGGAUUGGUAAUUAUUAGAAAAGCAAUAAUUAGUCUUUUUUCCUGGAACAUGUUGAGGACAAAUUAAAGAAUAAAGACUACGGCAUUUGGCUACAUGGAGGAAAAGGAUCUGAGGGUGCAGUUUGGCAGCGGGCUCAACAUGAGCCAGCAAUAUGUCCAGGUGUCCAGGAGGGGGCCUGUGGCAUCCUGGCUUGUAUCAGAAACUGUGCAGCCAGCCCGAAUAUGGAGAUGAUAGUCCUUCUCUACUCAGCACUGGUGAGGCUGCACCUUAAAUACUGUGUUUAGUUUUGGGCCCUCACUACAGAAAAGGCCCUGAUGCCCUGAAGUGUGUCCAGAGAAGGGCACUUCUGCUGUUGAAGGGUUCAGAACAUGAGUCUUACGAGGAGUGGCUGAGGGAACUGGGAUUGUUUAGACUGGAGGAGGAUGAGGGGAGACCUUGUUGCUCUCUGCCAUUUCCUGAUAGGAUGUUGAGGCAAGGUGGGGGUUCAUUUCUCUGAGAUAACAGUGAUAGGACAAGAGAGGUAUUGGCCUCAAGUUGUGCCAGGGGAGGUUCAGACUGUGUGUUAGGGAAAAUCUCUUACCAGAAAGUGUGAUAAUACAUUGGAACAGGCUGCUCAGGGAGGUGGUAAAGUCUCUAUCCCUGGAAGUCUUCAAAAAACAUGUGGGACACAAUUAGGUGGCAUGGUGGUGAUGAGUUGAUGGUUAGACUAGUAAUCUUCAAGGUCUUUUCCUACCUUAAUGACUCUACGAUAAAUGCAGUUUCAGUCUUGCCUAAUACAAAAGUCAGAACUUUUCCCAACAUCUUUAACAGGGUGUUACUUUCAUGUGUGUGUGAGGCAUGCAUGUCCGGAGAAGGGAUGGCAAUCUGUGAUAAAAAUGCAAUUAUCAUAUCUUCUAGCAGUUGUGAUAGUUAACAGUGCAUAGACUGAACUGCUACCAUCUCCACACUGAAAGAAAUCAAGAGUCAUGUCAGGUUUCAGUAUCCUUGGACAUAUUUCUGUUGUAAAAAUGUGAUCUCACCCACAGCUGAAUAAACAACACUUAAUACCUGCGAUGGAUAAGUUGAAUAACCUUUUUAAGGUAGCUGAGUGAUAAUCCUUGUACAUGGUUAGUUUCGGUUUUUGGCAAAGAGAAUACUGACACAAUAAAGAGCAGUUGUGAAGCACUUCAGGCUAGAAUGGGGUGAAGAAAUACAGUAAUGAAGUAAUAGCUGUUGCAGGCAAGUACCAACAAGAACAUAGGGGUCUAAAGUCAGUUUGAAGACUUGACCUUACCUUUGCUUUGCAGUUCAUCUAAAAUACAUUAAAGUUCAUAAUAUCAACUAAAAAUCCAUUAAAAUUCUUGAUGUGUUUCACUAUGUGAAACUUUAUAAAUGAUUGAAAUACUCUUGUCUCAUUGUUGGAGGCAACUGCAACCGGGACUCUUUUAUUCUUUGUACUUAGACGCUGCUUGCAGUCAUCAUGGUCAUCUUCAUAGACACAGCUAAUUUUCCUGAAAGCCACCAGCCACCCCACAAGAGGAAUUGGAAAUGAUAUACAUAGGUGAAUAAACUGUGGGCAGGCAAAUCAGGGACUUUCAGUAGAAGCCAAUAAGAGAAAGUACUGUUAAAGUACUUGCACCAGAGCUCUUGUAAAUUACCUACCUGUGAAAGAUCAUAUUUAUUCUUGAACUUAAAAUAUUUUUCAAUAAUUUAUUAAACAAAUCUGUUAAAUUUGUUAAAAAAAGAUUUUUAGUAUCCUAUUGUGUAUAUCCAAAAGAUAAUU